GACGAACGCUGGCGGCGUGCUUAACACAUGCAAGUCGAACGGAAAGGCCCUGCUUUUGUGGGGUGCUCGAGUGGCGAACGGGUGAGUAACACGUGAGUAACCUGCCCUUGACUUUGGGAUAACUUCAGGAAACUGGGGCUAAUACCGGAUAGGAGCUCCUGCUGCAUGGUGGGGGUUGGAAAGUUUCGGCGGUUGGGGAUGGACUCGCGGCUUAUCAGCUUGUUGGUGGGGUAGUGGCUUACCAAGGCUUUGACGGGUAGCCGGCCUGAGAGGGUGACCGGGCUCAUUGGGACUGAGAUACGGCGCAGACUCCAACGGGAGGCAGCAGUGGGGAAUAUUGCACAAUAGGCGGAAGCCUGAUGCAGCAACGCCGCGUGCGGGAUGACGGCCUUCGGGUUGUAAACCGCUUUCGCCUGUGACGAAGCGUGAGUGACGGUAAUGGGUAAAGAAGCACCGGCUAACUACGUG
rnacentral:rRNA from 1 species